GACGAACGCUGGCGGCGUGCUUAACACAUGCAAGUCGAACGAAGAGCGAUGGAAGCUUGCUUCUAUCAAUCUUAGUGGCGAACGGGUGAGUAACGCGUAAUCAACCUGCCCUUCAGAGGGGGACAACAGUUGGAAACGACUGCUAAUACCGCAUACGAUCUAACCUCGGCAUCGAGGAUAGAUGAAAGGUGGCCUCUACAUGUAAGCUAUCACUGAAGGAGGGGAUUGCGUCUGAUUAGCUAGUUGGAGGGGUAACGGCCCACCAAGGCGAUGAUCAGUAGCCGGUCUGAGAGGAUGAACGGCCACAUUGGGACUGAGACACGGCCCAGACUCCUACGGGAGGCAGCAGUGGGGAAUCUUCCGCAAUGGACGAAAGGCUGACGGAGCAACGCCGCGUGAGUGAUGACGGCCUUCGGGUUGUAAAGCUCUGUUAAUCGGGACGAAAGGCCUUCUUGCGAAUAGUUAGAAGGAUUGACGGUACCGGAAUAGAAAGCCACGGCUAACUACGUG
rnacentral:rRNA from 1 species